GUAAUAUUGUUAAGGACCGCGGGGCAAAGUUUUAGAAUUUUUAGAGCUGAUUUGGGCAGUUUUUGCAAAAAUGGUCAAUUAUAGGGACUAAAUUGAAAUUUUACAUAUUGUGAUGGAUGAUUGAUUUGAUGGGCCCAGGAGGGGCUGUGUGAUGUGAUUGAGUUGUGGAUAUAUGGAUUGUGAGUAUAGAAGUGUUUUUUGAGCCCUUUUGCAGCUUGGGUAGGUCCUAGGUAUAGGGGAGACUCUGUCGGAUUUUCGGCACGACUUAGGACGUAUUGGUCUUUUUCUUUGUUUGUAUUGAGUCAGAUUUAUUAAAUGAUUGUAAUAAAAUUGUCAGGUGAGCCGGGACAGCCUUCUUCCUCCGCCCAGCCGCCACAGUGAUUGUCGUCAAGUCUGCUACAGGAGGAUUUUAUUUUGGUUAACCUGCUUUUCUCCUUCGCAGGUUGUUUAUCAAUAUUUGUGUAAUUUUAUUUACUCCUAGAAUUUCCGCAUGUGUUAGAAGUAUUUAUUUGAUUAUGGUCUGUAAUAUUAUUAUCA